CACACACACACAGAGGACCUGCUGCUAAAGCAGUGGGGAUCUGCAGCGUGGACCGGACUGGAAUGCUGACCCUCGAUCCAUCUCCAUCAGCGGAGACGCAUUUGUUUGACUUGAGAUGUGAUUAUGUUUUCUCUUCCCCACACCUGCAGCUUCCUCUGGAUAUAUCCCCACACCCCCCCCCCCCCUGUGCCUUUGGACUCUCACUGAUCAAUUACUUCAACUUGGAAAAAUACUGAUGCAGCUGCUACUGCUUUUCAUCGUGUUUUAUAUUUUCUGUUGCAGUUCGUGUACGGGCCUAAAGGAAGAGCGAGACGUCGACCCGAGCAGCAGCUGCAUCACAGCAGAGGGUCACGCAGAGUCCAUCACUUAGGCUGGCUAUCAGCGAUUAAAUAGCUCAAUAGUGUGAGAUCGUUAGACAGAUUGUGGCUGUAUCUGAAGUCCUGUGGACACCAGACCAUCAUGGUGAAGAGUAAGAAGGUCUGGGUCGUGGUGGCAGUAGACCAAGCAGCUCAUACCACACUUCCUCAUCCUUGGCCAAGUCCUCUAACGCCUCGUGGAGGAUUCAGACUGGAACAAAUUUGUUGAACUAAAAAUAUGUUGUUGAGGAAAGUGCAAAGGUUUAUGUAACAUUAACUUUUCAUUUUUUUAAACUUUCUUUUUGUUUCUUUUUAAUUAAAAUGAAGGUAGGUAUGAAAUAUUUUAUAAUCUCCUUUGAGAUAA